CCCCCACCCUGAUCCAGGACACCCUUCAGGGCAAACCAGCUGGCACCCACCCGUGCACCACGCCUCUAUUCUAUAUAGUAAAAGGGUAAUAUGCCUCCCAGCACCGGGAUCAGCAGAGUCGAGAGGCCUCCUUGCACCGGGAUCAGUGCCCUGCUUAGUACGAAAGGAACACAGAUUCAGACAUUUGGUGUAUGUGCUUGGCUGAGAAGUCAAUGGGGCUAAACCACCAUCUGUGGAAUCUGAAUCAGAAUCCCUCACCUAGAAGCCUUGGUUGGCCUCAGAUAGUCGGUGCCACCCUGCCGGUGGGCCACUGCAUCACGCUCCACGUCUGGACUGGGCUCCAGUGCAGAGAGCCCCUCAUUUUGGGAAACGGUGUGGCCAGAAAGGGGGCUUCCCCCAGCCCUUAAUGCAGUGCAUGUUCCUGGUGAACCUGGUGCUAAAACCAUUUGUUGAUGACCUGCUCCUGGGUCGGGGUUUCAUAUAGAGCAGAGCAGCUCCCUCGCUGCGAUCUAUUGAAAAUCAGCCUUCCACAUAAAGGUUGGU
rnacentral:ncRNA from 1 species